rnacentral:siRNA from 1 species
UAGGAAAUUUGCAGAUUGAUG